rnacentral:rRNA from 1 species
ACGGGAGGCAGCAGUGGGGAAUAUUGGGCAAUGGGCGCAAGCCUGACCCAGCAACGCCGCGUGAAGGAAGAAGGCUUUCGGGUUGUAAACUUCUUUUGACAGGGAAGAGUAGAAGACUGUACCUGUCGAAUAAGCCACGGCUAACUACGUGCCAGCAGCCGCGGUAAUACGUAGGUGGCAAGCGUUGUCCGGAUUUACUGGGUGUAAAGGGCGUGUAGGCGGGACAUCAAGUCAGAUGUGAAAGCACGAGGCUCAACUUCGUGUCUGCAUUUGAAACUGACGUUCUUGAGUGUUGGAGAGGCUAACGGAACUCCUAGUGUAGCGGUGAAAUGCGUAGAUAUUAGGAAGAACACCAGUGGCGAAGGCGGUUAGCUGGACAAUAACUGACGCUGAGGCGCGAAAGCGUGGGUAGCAAACAGGAUUAGAUACCCUGGUA